GAGUUUGAUCCUGGCUCAGGACGAACGCUGGCGGCGUGCUUAACACAUGCAAGUCGAGCGGAAAGGCCCUUUCGGGGGUACUCGAGCGGCGAACGGGUGAGUAACACGUGAGUAACCUGCCCCAGUCUUUGGGAUAACCCUCGGAAACGAGGGCUAAUACCGGAUAUGACAUUCCACCGCAUGGUGUGGGUGUGGAAAGUUUUUCGGUCUGGGAUGGGCUCGCGGCCUAUCAGCUUGUUGGUGGGGUGAUGGCCUACCAAGGCGACGACGGGUAGCCGGCCUCGAGAGGGCGACCGGCCACACUGGGACUGAGACACGGCCCAGACUCCUACGGGAGGCAGCAGUGGGGAAUAUUGCACAAUGGGCGGAAGCCUGAUGCAGCGACGCCGCGUGAGGGAUGACGGCC
rnacentral:rRNA from 1 species